CCGGGAAUGAUAAAAUUUCUUCCUGUAGCUGUUGAGAAGUUAGCUUUAAUGAACUGUUCAAGUAAUUUUAACAAUACUAUUUCAGGAACUUCGUAUCAUUUAUUACAUAUAGUAAAUUUAAAAGAAAAUCUUUUUAAAUAUAACAUGGGGAUAUUUGUAUUAAAGCAACUUGGAGGACGAAGAAGAAGAGAACGUCCCCAUGCCGGACGUGAUCGCUCCGUACCAGAACUUCCCGAUAGAGGACGACCAGUUGGACGCUCCAUCAGAGCUCGACUCCGAAGACGAGGAGGAGCCGGGCCGCUGCUGCCGUUUUUGGUCUCAGUUUUGUCGCAUGUUGAACCACUUCUGCGAAUGGUUCAUAACUUACUGCCUGUAAAAGUUAGAACCAGUUGUAAACAUAUUGUUUACUUUUGAGGACCACCGACCAGUAGUCUGACUCGCUAACAAAAAGUCGGGAAAAAUCACAAACAUUUUAAAAUCCUCAAAAUAAAAUGAUGUAAAGGAAA